ACCUUUGGCAGAUAGGGAUGUUUUUCGUCAUCGAAGGCUCUUCUUAGAACCCAUUUCUCGAUACGCCCUUCGUCUUUCUUGAUCUGAUUCAUAAAUAAAGGUAUUCCUUAUAUGUCUGUAAAUCUCAACCGUAAAUAAUAAGAGGAAAAUG